UACGUAGGGCGCAAGCGUUGUCCGGAAUUAUUGGGCGUAAAGAGCUCGUAGGCGGUUUGUCGCGUCUGCUGUGAAAUCCCGAGGCUCAACCUCGGGCUUGCAGUGGGUACGGGCAGACUAGAGUGCGGUAGGGGAGACUGGAAUUCCUGGUGUAGCGGUGGAAUGCGCAGAUAUCAGGAGGAACACCGAUGGCGAAGGCAGGUCUCUGGGCCGCAAACUG
rnacentral:rRNA from 1 species